AGAGUUUGAUCAUGGCUCAGAAUCAACGCUGGCGGCGCGCUUAACACAUGCAAGUCGAACGAGAAAGCCGCAAGGUGAGUAAAGUGGCGCACGGGUGAGUAACACGUGGAUGAUCUACCUUUUAGUGGGGAAUACCGUUGGGAAACUGACGACAAUACCGCAUAAGCUCGAGAGAGGAAAGCCGAAAGGCGCUGAAAGAGGAGUCCGCGGCUGAUUAGCUAGUUGGUAGGGUAAAGGCCUACCAAGGCAUUGAUCGGUAGCCGGCCUGAGAGGGCACACGGCCACACUGGCACUGAAACACGGGCCAGACUCCUACGGGAGGCAGCAGUGGGGAAUCUUGCACAAUGGGGGCAACCCUGAUGCAGCGACGCCGCGUGAGUGAUGACGCCCUUCGGGGUGUAAAGCUCUUUCGACAGGGACGAUAAUGACGGUACCUGGAGAAGCAGCUGCGGCUAACUACGUGCCAGCAGCCGCGGUAAUACGUAGGCAGCAAGCGUUGUUCGGAGUUACUGGGCGUAAAGGGUGCGUAGGCGGCCGUGUAAGUGUGGUGUGAAAUCUCCCGGCUUAACUGGGAGGGUGCGCUACAGACUGCAUGGCUAGAGUGUGGGAGAGGAAAGUGGAAUUCCUGGUGUAGCGGUGAAAUGCGUAGAUAUCAGGAGGAACACCGGUGGUGUAAACGGCUUUCUGGACCAUAACUGACGCUGAUGCACGAAAGCGUGGGUAGCAAACAGGAUUAGAUACCCUGGUAGUCCACGCCCUAAACGAUGCACAUUUGGUGUGGGUCAUUCAGUUGAUCCGUGCCGGAGCUAACGCGUUAAAUAUGCCGCCUGGGGAGUACAGUCGCAAGGCUGAAACUCAAAGGAAUUGACGG
rnacentral:rRNA from 1 species